rnacentral:lncRNA from 12 species
CUGGGUGGAUGGAAGGGACGGGGGAGAAGGAGGAAGGGCUCUUUCCCUGCCCUCUUCCUCCAGGCCUUCCCAGGGCAGGAGCAGCCAGGAGGCUGGGGCCGGCGAUGGGGAGGAGGCGUCCGGCCAGAUGGAUGGAGAGUCCCCCUCUGGUCUCUUGUAUCUGAGGGCUCCGGGAGUCAAGAGUCCAGGUGGGUGGGGAAGUGUGGGCUCUCCUGAGCCCGCCCCGUGCAGAGUCCAAAGAUCUCCAGGGCAGAGGAGCAGCAGCUGGUCUCAAUCAGCCUGCUCCUCCCUGCCCCCCUCUUCGGCAGUCUGCCUCAGCAGCCAUUCUGAUUUCUGUCCCCCUCCUUCCAGCAAGCUGUUUCCCAUUAGCUCCCCACCCUAGGCUCUGGCUCAGAGAUGAAUGUUGAUCCUUCCUCCUCCUUUGAGCUGGCCUGUCUCAGAAAAAGCCAGUGUCCUCUGUCCCUCAUGUUUAGGAAGCCCCACUGUGCCCCUAAGGGAAGUUGGUUACAGCCAGGGAGCAACGUUCUGCAGUUGGGGGGCAGAAGCUUGCUUUUAAGAAUUACUGCACAUAAUUCCAGCAUCCAGGACAGAAUCCAGUGGAGAGUGAGAUCAAUACAAGUUUGGAUUUGUGACCUACUUGAAAAGGAAAUAUUGGGAUCCCUGGGUGGCGCAGCAGUUUAGCGCCUCCUUUGGCCCAGGGCGCGAUCCUGGAGACCCGAGAUCGAAUUCCACGUCGGGCUCCCGGUGCAUGGAGCUUGCUUCUCCCUCAGCCUAUGUCUCUGCCUCUCUCUCUCACUGUGUGCCUAUCAUAAAUAAAUAAAAUAAAAAAUAAGUUUAAAAAAAAGAA